rnacentral:misc_RNA from 1 species
GAAGGUACUCGAAGGCUAUUUACCGUAACAUUCGGAACAGGAAGCUGAAAGUCCUUGCCGGAUAUGUCACGUCUUCGCGUCUUUUCGGCGAACGUCUUGCAUUUCACGAAAGAAGAAAGGAGCCACGAUUACGAUCCUGAGUUUUCGAUUGAAGUAUUUCCUGCUGAUGCCAGCUGCGGAAUAAUACAUAGUGUUGAUAGCCCCGAUGAUCGUUAUUCAUCGAACAUCAGAUUGCAUCAUUCCAUGAUCUUCUUCCGCCAGCGGAACUUGGAUUAAGUGUGCAUUAGAAAAAGCUCGUCUUGAGGGAUAAUAAAUAAUAAAUAUCUUCCUACAAUAACAUCAAAUGAGCUAAAAACUACUUAGAUCUGUGUGUUUUACUGUAAGAAUUCCAAGGUUGCUUCGUCACUUUUUCCUAGAAAC